CCCGCUGAACUUAAGCAUAUCAAUAAGCGGAGGAAAAGAAACCAACAGGGAUUACCCUAGUAACGGCGAGUGAAGCGGUAACAGCUCAAAUUUAAAAUCUGGCUCUUGGGCCCGAGUUGUAAUUUGUAGAGGAUGUUUCGGGCAAGGUCUAGGUUUAAAUUUCUUGGAACAGAAUGUCAUAGAGGGUGAGAAUCCCGUCUUGAACCGCUGACCGCGUCCAUGUGAAACUCCUUCGACGAGUCGAGUUGUUUGGGAAUGCAGCUCAAAAUGGGUGGUAAAUUUCAUCUAAAGCUAAAUAUUGGCCAGAGACCGAUAGCGCACAAGUAGAGUGAUCGAAAGAUGAAAAGCACUUUGAAAAGAGAGUUAAACAGUAUGUGAAAUUGUUGAAAGGGAAGCGCUUGUGACCAGACUUGAGUCUGACGGUUCCCGGGGUCUUUUGACCCCGUUAUUCCGUCUUAACCAGGCCAGCAUCGGUUUGGGUGGUCGGUUAAAGGUCUUGGGAAUGUAUCUACCUCCGGGUCGACUUAUAGCCCAGGGCGUAAUGCGGCCUACCUGGACCGAGGAACGCGCUUUUGCUCGGAUGCUGGCGUAAUGGUUACAAGCGGCCCGUCUUGAAACACGG
rnacentral:rRNA from 1 species